rnacentral:rRNA from 1 species
CCCCCAUUCCCCCCCACUCGUUCGCCUGUCCCCUCCCCCUCCUCUCGUUCCCGAUCUGGAUCGGGAAGGGGAGCGAUCCCGACCCCCUUCGCCGUCACCAUCUCCACUUGCCGUCGUCGACCACCGCCGCCGCACGAGGACCCGAAGCCGCCUAACGCUGCCCCGCCGUCGCCGCGUCCCCAUCCUCAUCCCCACCGGACUGCGCCCGCCUUCCCGCCGCCGCGACGCCACCCCGUCGUCCUCGUCUCCUCCUCGCCGGACGCAACCUCGACUCCUCCCCAAGUCCGCUGCCAUUCCCCUAUGGCCCCGCCACCCCGAGACCGAUGCUGCCCCUGUGAUCGACUACGUCGACGAUGACCCCUCCUUGCCAGAGCAACCAGAUGGUGGAGCCCAGGAUCCAGACGCCACCUUCGACGACGACUGCUACUACACUGAGGGUGCCUACUACUACGUGGAGGCCGCCGACGACCAGGAGUAGUUAGGAGGCUCCCAGGCAGGAGGCCUUGCCUUUUUUAUCGU